UACGGGGGGGGCAAGCGUUGUUCGGAAUUACUGGGCGUAAAGGGCUCGUAGGCGGCCAAUUAAGUCGGAUGUGAAAUCCCCAGGCUUAACCUGGGAACUGCAUCCGAUACUGGAUGGCUUGAAUCCGGGAGAGGGAUGCGGAAUUCCAGGUGUAGCGGUGAAAUGCGUAGAUAUCUGGAGGAACACCGGUGGCGAAGGCGGCAUCCUGGACCGGCAUUGACGCUGAGGAGCGAAAGCCAGGGGAGCAAACGGG
rnacentral:rRNA from 1 species